GAAUCAAGAAAUUCUAAAUAAAGCUUCUAACUUUAAUUUAAAGCAGUGAAACUCUGUUUUUGAUUCU
rnacentral:tRNA from 1 species